rnacentral:rRNA from 1 species
UGAGCUGUGCCUAGGGGUGAAAGGCCAAUCAAACUCGGAGAUAGCUGGUUCUCUGCGAAAUCUAUUUAGGUAGAGCGUCAUCCGAAUACCCCCGGGGGUAGAGCACUGGAUGGGUAAUGGGGCCCCACAGGCUUACUGAUCCUAACCAAACUCCGAAUACCGGGGAGUACUAGAUGGCAGACACACGGCGAAUGCUAACGUCCGUCGUGAAGAGGGAAACAACCCUGACCUACAGCUAAGGCCCCUAAUUCAUGGCUAAGUGGGAAAGCAGGUGGGACGACCAAAACAACCAGGAGGUUGGCUUAGAAGCAGCCAUCCUUUAAAGAUAGCGUAACAGCUCACUGGUCUAAAUAAGUUGUCCUGCGGCGAAGAUGUAACGGGGCUCAAGCCAUGAGCCGAAGCUUAGGAUGCAUUAAUUGCAUGGUAGCAGAGCGUAGUGUGACAUAGUUCCAUGUCUCCUUAGCCCUUCGGGGUAUUGGAGACGCGGAGCUUUCUGUGAAGCCGGCGCGUGAGCGAUCCGGUGGAGAGAUCACUAGUGAGAAUGAUGACAUGAGUAGCGACAAAGAGUGUGAGAGACACUCUCGCCGAAAGUCCAAGGGUUCCUGCUUAAAGCUAAUCUGAGCAGGGUAAGCCGACCCCUAAGGCGAGGCCGAAAGGCGUAGUCGAUGGGAACCAGGUUAAUAUUCCUGGGCCAGAUGGAAGUGACGGAUCUCGAG